GACGAACGCUGGCGGCGUGCUUAACACAUGCAAGUCGAACGGAAAGGCCUCUUUCGGGGGGUACUCGAGUGGCGAACGGGUGAGUAACACGUGAGUAACCUGCCCUUGACUUUGGGAUAACUUCAGGAAACUGGGGCUAAUACCGGAUAGGAGCUCCUGCUGCAUGGUGGGGGUUGGAAAGUUUCGGCGGUUGGGGAUGGACUCGCGGCUUAUCAGCUUGUUGGUGGGGUAGUGGCUUACCAAGGCUUUGACGGGUAGCCGGCCUGAGAGGGUGACCGGCCACAUUGGGACUGAGAUACGGCCCCGACUCCUACGGGGGGCAGCAGUGGGGAAUAUUGCACAAUGGGUGGAAGCCUGAUGCAGCAACCCCGGGUGCGGGAUGCCGGCCUUCGGGUUUUAAACCGCUUUCGCUCAUGACGAAGCUUUGGGUGACGGUAGUGGGUAAAGAAGCACGGGCUAAUUACGU
rnacentral:rRNA from 1 species